rnacentral:rRNA from 1 species
GACGAACCGUGCGAACGUUAUUCGGAAUCACUGGGCUUAAAGCGCGUGUAGGCGGGAUGGCACGUCGGUCGCUGAAAGCCCCCGGCUCAACCGGGGAAGGGGCGCCGAUACGACCGUCCUGGAGGGACGUAGGGGGACCUGGAACUUCCGGUGGAGCGGUGAAAUGCGUUGAGAUCGGAAAGAACACCAACGGCGAAAGCACUCUGCUGGGCCGACACUGACACUGGAGAGACGAAAGCUAGGGGAGCAAAUGGG